GCCUUCGUGGUGUAGUGGUCAGCACGCUCGACGCGGAUUCGAGAGGUCCGUGGUUCGAGUCCCGGAGAGGACA
rfam:Stegodyphus mimosarum contig33749, whole genome shotgun sequence.